GGGGAGACAGGAGCAGCUCUGUAGGACAGGAGCCACUGCUGUGGGGAGAAGAGACCAUCACCAUCCCAGAUUAUGCAGAAUCUCGGAAUAAUCAUAGCAAGGUACCUGAAAAUCUCUUCACCAUUCAGCAAGGUAUGAUGUAUCCAAAUUUAUCUGGCAGAGGAUGCUGGUGAACAUCCUGGACAUGCUCAUUUCCUGCUGCAAGAUCUUAACACAGGAGCAGUUUUCAGAAACCCCAGUCAUGGAUCAAGGCCCCAUUGUGCUAGAUGUUGUAUGAACACAGAACAAAAAGACUGUUCCUGCCCCAAAGAAUGAGUUUGACAGUUGUGGAAGUAAUCAGCUGGAGAAUUUUUCCAACCAACUAUAUGGUUUGAAGUUCUAGUGUGCAAAAUUGAUAAUUUCAUCCAUUGUCUCCCUUUCUGGCAAAGGCAUUAACAGAGAAUUGCAGAUGUGUUGUAGUUGGAAUAAUGGUAUCAUAACAGAUGCACACAAAACAUAUCUUAACAAUACACAUGUUCCAAAACGUGGGGAAUGGACAAAAUACCAUGAAACAAUACUACUACUUAGUGCUUAUAUAACCUCCGUAGCCCUUUCCCAACACUAAGCCUCACAGCACCUCAUGAAGUAGGCAUCAUUAUUCCCAUUAUAAUGAUGGGGAAAACUAAGGCACAGUCUUUUCUA